CCAGACUCCUACGGGAGGCAGCAGUGGGGAAUAUUGCACAAUGGGGGAAACCCUGAUGCAGCAACGCCGCGUGAGUGAGGAAGUAUUUCGGUAUGUAAAGCUCUAUCAGCAGGGAAUAGAAAAGAAGGUGCCUGAAAAAGAAGCCCCGGCUAACUACGUGCCAGCAGCCGCGGUAAUACGUAGGGGGCGAGCGUUAUCCGGAUUCACUGGGUGUAAAGGGAGCGUAGACGGCCAAGCAAGCCAGGGGUGAAAGCCCGGGGCCCAACCCCGGGACUGCCCUUGGAACUGCAUGGCUGGAGUGCGGGAGGGGCAGGCGGAAUUCCUGGUGUAGCGGUGAAAUGCGUAGAUAUCAGGAGGAACACCGGCGGCGAAGGCGGCCUGCUGGACCGCGACUGACGUUGAGGCUCGAAAGCGUGGGGAGCGAACAGGAUUAGAUACCCCGGUA
rnacentral:rRNA from 1 species